rnacentral:rRNA from 1 species
UACGUAGGUGGCGAGCGUUGUCCGGAAUUACUGGGUGUAAAGGGCGAGUAGGCGGGAUUGCAAGUCAGUAGUGAAAUACCACGGCUUAACCGUGGGGGGUCUAUUGAAACUGCGGUUCUUGAGUGAUGGAGAGGCAGGCGGAAUUCCCGGUGUAGCGGUGAAAUGCGUAGAGAUCGGGAGGAACACCAGUGGCGAAGGCGGCCUGCUGGACAUUAACUGACGCUGAGGCGCGAAAGCGUGGGGAGCAAACAGG